rnacentral:rRNA from 1 species
UACGUAGGGUGCGAGCGUUGUCCGGAAUUACUGGGCGUAAAGAGCUCGUAGGUGGUUUGUCGCGUCGUCUGUGAAAUUCCGGGGCUUAACCUCGGGCGUGCAGGCGAUACGGGCAAUACUUGAGUGCUGUAGGGGAGACUGGAAUUCCUAGUGUAGCGGUGAAAUGCGUAGAUAUUAGGAGGAACACCAGUGGCGAAGGCGGCUGCCUGGACAGUAACUGACGCUGAGGCGCGAAAGCGUGGGUAGCGAACAGGAUUAGAUACCCCGGUAGU